rnacentral:lncRNA from 10 species
GAAGUCAUCAAAGACAGCCCAACUCACAGCCCAUGAGGGACCCUGAGUACUGCCUCUGACCUCUCUAUGGCAAGCCAAAUGGCCAUGGGAAGACCCCAUGGAGUGUCAGAAUGAUGCCGUUGAGGGCAAGGAUUUUAGACCGGUCAUGGAUUCUGCCUGUGCACUGGGCUCUACCACUUUCUAGCUAUCUGGCUACUAGCAAGUUACCUUAACAAUCUAAGUUUCAACCUCCCCAUUCGUGAAAUGGAGAUGAUGUCUUAGUCAUAGAAGUAGCAAGUCUACUGCAUAUCAACAGUGUAGCACUGAGCCUGGCUCUUUGUAAGUGUUCAAUAAGGAAACAGGCCGAGAGACGCAAGUCAAACAGCAAAGGAUGGUCUGCUGUCUGUCUGACUCCAAUGCCAAUGGUCUUUCCUCUAUAACCUAAAGCAAUAAAACCCCUGCA